rnacentral:rRNA from 1 species
AGUCACUGACAUUAGAUACCCCGGUAGUCCAGGGUGUAAACGCUGCAGACUUGGUGUUGGAAGUCCUUUGGGGGCAUUCAGUGCCGGAGAGAAGUUGUUAAGUCUGCUACUUGGGAGUACGUCCGCAAGGAUGAAACUUAAAGGAAUUGGCGGGGGGAGCACCGCAACGGGAGGAGCGUGCGGUUUAAUUGGAUUCAACACCGUAAAACUCACCAGGGAAGACUGUUACAUGAAAGCCGAGAUGAAGACUCUGCUAGAUUUUCAG